AUUGAACGCUGGCGGCAGGCCUAACACAUGCAAGUCGAGCGGAUGAAGGGAGCUUGCUCCUGGAUUCAGCGGCGGACGGGUGAGUAAUGCCUAGGAAUCUGCCUGGUAGUGGGGGAUAACGUCCGGAAACGGGCGCUAAUACCGCAUACGUCCUGAGGGAGAAAGUGGGGGAUCUUCGGACCUCACGCUAUCAGAUGAGCCUAGGUCGGAUUAGCUAGUUGGUGGGGUAAAGGCCUACCAAGGCGACGAUCCGUAACUGGUCUGAGAGGAUGAUCAGUCACACGGGAACUGAGACACGGUCCAGACUCCUACGGGAGGCAGCAGCGGGGAAUAUUGGACAAUGGGCGAAAGCCUGAUCCAGCCAUGCCGCGUGUGUGAAGAAGGUCUUCGGAUUGUAAAGCACUUUAAGUUGGGAGGAAGGGCAGUAAGUUAAUACCUUGCUGUUUUGACGUUACCAACAGAAUAAGCACCGGCUAACUUCGUG
rnacentral:rRNA from 1 species